rnacentral:rRNA from 1 species
GACGAACGCUGGCGGCGUGCUUAACACAUGCAAGUCGAACGGAAAUGCCCUGCUUUUGUGGGGUGCUCGAGUGGCGAACGGGUGAGUAACACGUGAGUAACCUGCCCUUGACUUUGGGAUAACUUCAGGAAACUGGGGCUAAUACCGGAUAGGAGCUCCUGCUGCGUGGUGGGGGUUGGAAAGUUUCGGCGGUUGGGGAUGGACUCGCGGCUUAUCAGCUUGUUGGUGGGGUAGUGGCUUACCAAGGCUUUGACGGGUAGCCGGCCUGAGAGGGUGACCGGCCACAUUGGGACUGAGAUACGGCCCAGACUACUACGGGAGGCAGCAGUGGGGAAUAUUGCACAAUGGGCGGAAGCCUGAUGCAGCAACGCCGCGUGCGGGAUGACGGCCUUCGGGUUGUAAACCGCUUUCGCCUGUGACGAAGCGUGAGUGACGGUAAUGGGUAAAGAAGCACCGGCUAACUACGUG